UACAGAGGUCUCAAGCGUGUUCGGAUUCAUUGGGCGUAAAGGGUGCGUAGGUGGCGCUGUAAGUCGGGUGUGAAAUUUCGGAGCUUAACUCCGAAACUGCAUUCGAUACUGCGGUGCUUGAGGACUGGAGAGGAGACUGGAAUUAUGGUGUAGCAGUGAAAAUGCGUAGAGAUCAUGAGGAAGACCAGUGGCGAAGGCGGGUCUCUGGACAGUUCCUGAC
rnacentral:rRNA from 1 species